GCAUACUUUCCAGAGUGAGAGCAAAUUUCAAAGAAAGAAUCAUCCAUCUUGUCCUGAAUCUGGCAGAAUGCUGUAGACAGCUAUGCUACCUGAUGUUUACAGGGCAAGAUUGAACCAUUGAUUUUUUACAUGAAACUCCACAUUGCCCUGGACAAAUUGUUGUGAGGAUAACCUCACAGAGGCUGGCUUGUGCCAUGAACAAAUGUGGAGGGUGGAAGACUGAAAGAUGAUUUUUUCAAGGGCUGAUCACUUUUGGGAGAAACUCUGAUUAAAAGAUUAAGCUAGGUCAUGGCAUCACUGACUUUUCACCUAUUGGAAACAGGUCACUUCACCAAAAACCUUCUGCAAGAUCCACUGGGUGAAGAGAAAGAGG